ensembl:lncRNA
CUAUUACAACUUAUAUCAUUGUUGAGCAGAAACAUUGGUCACACUUUACAAUAACAGUACAUUAAUUAACCAUUCAUUAACAGUAGUUGCCUGUGAUCAGCAAUAUCAUAUAGCAUUAGCAUAGGGGUUAGGCUUAACCAUAACCUUAUUCCUUACACCAUUAGUAAAUGAUACCUAGACCAUUAGUAAUGGUAAAUGAACUGUUAGUUAAUGCUGAUUACUGCAUUAACUAAUGCAAAUGAAUGAUUAAUUGAUGUACCCUUAAGGUAACGUGUUAACAGCGCAUUUAUAUAAAGCACUAAGGCAUCCGUCUCAAGGAUGCUGACGGGUACACCGUAGACUUGGGUUCAAACUCUGAACCCGUUUGUCCAAAAGUCGUGCACAAUGCACUCACCAGCUUGCCAUUAUUUUGUGCGUUGUUUGGGUUGGGUCCAAUGUCUAAAUGCACGUGUUCCUCUGGUGUCAGCGCUGGGAGGGUGGAUGGAGGAGGAGGAGGGUGGAGGAGGCAGGGGUGGACGGUGACAGAAGGAGCACGGGGAGAAGGCGGUGAGCCGGCGUGGAGGAGGCGGGCGUCCUCCGCUCCCACACAGAGGCCUCGGCAGGGAGGUGCAGCAGACCCAGAGAGGGGCCGCUCGGCCAGCCGCUCUGCACCUUCAUCUCUCCCCCCAGACCGCCCGGCCUGGACCCCCGCACCGGACCCCCGGCCGCAGCCCGGCCGGUCUGGUUCCUCGGUACCGUCUGACGAGAGUCACUCCGCCCGGCAGCUCGGACACGCUGCACUGCACAUGCAGGACCCGCAGCAUGUCUCCAGAGGGCCCCAGCCCGCUGCAGGUGGGUUGGAGGGGGGGGUGGGAGGCCCUGGUCUGACCGCUCCGGCCCCCCCCCUCCUAGGCAGCCUGGGGCCGGUACACUGGUUACCAACGUGUCACCCAGCGCUGCUGUUAUGCUCGUGUGCCCUGACGACGCCGGACUCACGACACCCGUACAUCCACGCACAUAGCCUGGGCCGCGCUACCUCAGAGGUCAGGGGUCACGGGGAAGUGAGAAGGCACGCGAGUCGUCCGCUGAUCGCUAAGCAACGGGACUCUCUGGGCUGCUCUCUGAACAAGGCCCUCCGGGCGGCCCGGGACAUGAAGCUGACCUCCAGGCGCAUGGCGCGCUCUCUGGCCUCAGGGCUGCACUACCAGGAAGCACUGUCUCAGUCCUGCAUCUACUAGCUUCCUGCUAGUGCGCGGGUAGCUUUCUGCUAGGCUAUUUCCAGCUGUCUUCCUGCAUUCAGCAGCUUUCUGCUAACUUUUGACUAGUCUUCCCCAGUUUACUGUUCACUUUCUACCAGCCUUCUGCUAGCCUGCUGCUAGCUUUCUGCUAACCUUUAAAUAGUCUUCCCCAGCUCACUGUUCACUUUCUAGUAGCUUUCUGCUAGCCUGCUGCUAAUUUCUGCUAACCUUUAAAUAGUCUUCCCCAGCUCACUGUUCACUUUCUAGUAGCUUUCUGCUAGCCUGCUAUUAGCUUUCUGCUAACUAUUAACUAUUUUCUUCCCCAGUUUACUGUUCACUUUCUACCAGUCUUCUUCUAGCCUGCUGCUAGCUUUCUACCAGAAUGCUGCUAGCUUUCUACUAGCCACUAGCUUUAAACCAGCAUCUGGCUCAUUUACUGCUUACCUUCUUCUAGUCUCCUGCUAGUUAGCUGCUAGAAUUCUGCUAGCCUGUGACUAGCAAAUGAUAAAAUAGGAACUGCUGCAGUUGUCAAGUCAAAUAAAGCAUUCAUAACUACAAGAACCAUUAUUUAUUUAUUGUUCUGCUGUAAUGUUUAUAAUUGUUUUAUUUGUGAAAUUAGUUAAAUAUCUUACUUGGGAUUAUUCUUUAUUAUUAUUAUUAUUAUUUUACUGCAUUAUUACUGAUUGUAAUGAUUUGGUAAAUGAGACGAUACUGGCUCACUGGAAGUGAGAAGUGAACUUCACUCAUCCCAAAGUUUUCAAACUAUACUUUUAUGAAAGCAUUAAUGGGCUAUGAAACUAUUUUCUUAAAAUAUAUUUUGAAAUCAGAAUUGUUUAAGUAGUUUGACAUAGUUAGUUAAAAAGAUGAUGAUUAAGAAAUGGGUAGGUUACUCAUCACAGAAUGUCUACAAUAUUUAAAUUAAAGCAUAGAAUUUUAAACCUUUAAGUAAAUAAAAUUGAAUAGCUGUUGAUUUAAUGUAACAUUGUUUAUUGUAUUGGUACUUAGUUUAUUUUGAGGUUUUAACAUUGCGUGAAUUUUCUACUUUUGUACCAAGUUUUGAUCGUCUGUAUAUUUUUGCCUUUUCUACAUUUUUAGAAUGAAUGUCCUUGAAGUCCUUGAAUAAAUUGCAAUUAAAAUACAACAAACAGUAUCUUGAUUUAUUCUUUAAUUGAAGGGCCUCUAUUUUACCGCUAGGUGUGGUAUGAGAAGCCAUAUAAAAAAUAGAAUAUAAAGUAGGCCUAAACCCCAUAUUUUCUUAAAC